UUGACGAUGGAAUGAGAAUUGUUAUUAUUCAACUCAGCCGGUCGCGAGAUCGGUCGAUAACUGGAGGUCCAGCAGUGGUCUUCGGGUUAUCUCCUCAUCAGGCUAAUCACGGUUUUGGACCCGGCUCUGCCGGGUCUUUUUUUG
rnacentral:sRNA from 2 species